CCUACGGGAGACAGCAGUGAGGGAUAUUGCACAAUGGGGGGAACCCUGAUGCAGCGACGCCGCGUGGGUGAAGACGCGCCUCGGCGCGUAAAGCCCUGUCAGCAGGGAAGAAAAUGACGGUACCUGAAGAAGCAGCCCCGGCUAACUACGUGCCAGCAGCCGCGGUAAUACGUCGGGGGCAAGCGUUAUCCGGAUGUACUGGGGGUAAAGGGGGCGCAGGCGGGGCUGCAAGCCAGGAGGGAAAGCUCGGGGCCCAACCCCGGGACUGCCCUUGGAACUGCGGGGCUGGAGUGCAGGAGGGGCAGGCGGAAUUCCUGGUGUAGCGGUGAAAUGCGUAGAUAUCAGGAGGAACACCGAUGGCGAAGGCGGCCUGCUGGACUGCAACUGACGUUGAGGCCCGAAAGCGUGGGGAGCAAACAGGAUUAGAUACCCGUGUAGUC
rnacentral:rRNA from 1 species